rnacentral:lncRNA from 1 species
CAUGCAUGUGUACCAAGAGCAUCCAUGCAACAUGGGCUUAAUUUGGCGGAGAUGGUGGCGUCGGGCUGGGACCAGGAGCAGGCGGGCCAGGCGCAGGUGGGCCAGGCACAGGCGGGCCAGGCGCAGGUGGGCCAGGCGCAGGUGGGCCAUUGAUGAAGCACUUCUCGCAGCAGUCCUUCAAGCACGCCGUUUUCUUUCUGCUAUCUGUAACAGUGAAACAAACAAAACGGGCCCAACACAUGAACAGAAGAGAGGCAUUAAUCAGACAACCAUACUAUAGUACAGUAUAAUAUCGCGUGCUGCUCUGCUCCUCGAUUGUUUUGAUGGGGCGUUUGACCGUGCACGUACGGUG